UACGUAGGGGGGCAAGCGUUGUCCGGAAUUACUGGGCGUAAAGCGUGUGCAGGCGGUUCGUUAAGACAGGUGUGAAAUCCCCGGGCUUAACCUGGGAAUUGCGCUUGUUACUGGCAAGCUAGAGUGCGUCAGAGGGAGGUGGAAUUCCACGUGUAGCAGUGAAAUGCGUAGAGAUGUGGAGGAACACCGAUGGCGAAGGCAGCCUCCUGGGAUGACACUGACGCUCAUACACGAAAGCGUGGGGAGCAAACAGG
rnacentral:rRNA from 1 species